rnacentral:rRNA from 1 species
UACAGAGGCCUCAAGCGUUGUUCGGAUUCAUUGGGCGUAAAGGGUGCGUAGGCGGCGUGGUAAGUCGGAUGUGAAAUCUCGGAGCUUAACUCCGAAACUGCAUUCGAUACUGCCGUGCUUGAGGACUGGAGAGGAGACUGGAAUUUACGGUGUAGCGGUGAAAUGCGUAGAUAUCGUAAGGAAGACCAGUGGCGAAGGCGGGUCUCUGGACAGUUCCUGACGCUGAGGCACGAAGGCCAGGGGAGCAAACGGG